rnacentral:rRNA from 1 species
UACGUAGGUGGCACGCGUUGUCCGGAUUUAUUGGGUUUAAAGGGUGCGUAGGCGGUCCCAUAAGUCAGUGGUGAAAUACUCUAGCUUAACUAGAGGGGUGCCAUUGAUACUGCGGGACUUGAGUGGAGUUGAAGUGGGCGGAAUUGACGGUGUAGCGGUGAAAUGCUUAGAUAUCGUCAAGAACACCGAUAGUGAAGACAGCUCACUAAGCUCAAACUGACGCUGAGGCACGAAAGUGUGGGGAUCAAACAGG